GACGAACGCUGGCGGCGUGCUUAACACAUGCAAGUCGAACGGAAAGGCCCUGCUUUUGUGGGGUGCUCGAGUGGCGAACGGGUGAGUAACACGUGAGUAACCUGCCCUUGACUUUGGGAUAACUUCAGGAAACUGGGGCUAAUACCGGAUAGGAGCUCCUGCUGCAUGGUGGGGGUUGGAAAGUUUCGGCGGUUGGGGAUGGACUCGCGGCUUAUCAGCUUGUUGGUGGGGUAGUGGCUUACCAAGGCUUUGACGGGUAGCCGGCCUGAGGGGGUGACCGGCCACAUUGGGACUGAGGUACGGCCCAGAGUCCUACGGGGGGCAGCAGGGGGGAAUAUUGCACAGUGGGCGGAAGCCUGAUGCAGCAACGCCGCGUGCGGAAUGACGGCCUUCGGGUGGAAAACCGCUUUCGCCUGUGACGAAGCGUGAGUGACGGUAAUGGGUGAAGAAGCACCGGCUAACUACGUG
rnacentral:rRNA from 1 species